rnacentral:tRNA from 1 species
GCGCCUAUAGCUCAGCUGGAUAGAGUGUCUGACUACGAAUCAGAAGGUCGGGAGUUCGAAUCUCUCUGGGCGCA